GACGAACUGUGCAAACGUUAUUCGGAAUCACUGGGCUUGAAGAGUGCGUAGGCGGUUUCGUAAGUAGGGUGUGAAAUCCCACGGCUUAACCGUGGAACUGCUUGGUAUACUGGUUGUCUUGGGCCAUCUAGGGGCUACCGGAACAAACGGUGGAGCGGUGAAAUGCGUAGAUAUCGUUUGGAACGCCAAUGGUGAAAACAGGUAGCUGGGGAUGUGCCGACGCUGAGACACGAAAGCCAGGGGAGCGAACGGG
rnacentral:rRNA from 1 species